rnacentral:snoRNA from 1 species
AAUUAUUACUUGAUGACGCAUAGUUCAUAUGAUCAAAACCAUGAUAACUAUACUAUGUGGAUUUCUUUCGCCCCUAUCUGAUAACACGU